UUUACAUAGGUGUCUAUUCACGCCAUAGUAGCGUUAUUUAAUAUACAAGCAGAACCCGGUUUUGGACGUUCUUAUUUAGGCAAUUCACGCUUGUGUCAUCAAUGGAGCUGCCUAAAUACACAAUUAAAUCUGACAGAUACGUUACCGCAAAAAGAUAAAUACUGGAAUAUUUUGUCAAACUUUUUGGCACCAGAGUGGCAGGCUGUGGGGCAGAAUGCUGUGGACGCGUGCUAUGGGGUGAAAACUAAAAAAUACACGAACACAUGUCCUGGACAGGCCUUAAUGCAUUGUGUCGUAGAUCAAAUGAUUGAUAACUGUCCAACAGGACGGUGGAACCAGGAAGAUGGGUGUGCAUCUGUUUCAUCUUUGGCUGCGUAUAACUACAUGUUCUCACAAAGCCGUUACAACAAUCUCAAAAAUAAUCUGCCGACUGAGCGACGCCCCUCGUGGUUUUUACAAAAAGUAAGGUUUUUUUUAUUUGUGUUAACAUUUCUUAGGAUCCAGCUUGGUAAUUC